GGUAUCACGACAACCUUUGGUUUGGUAUUUUGCUUCAAGAAAUUUGGUCACACAAACUGUUCUCUACAGUCAACCCACAUUAGCCACAGCACAGUUUGCAAACUUGAAUUUUUACCAGAUGGUUCAUAAAAAUUAUUUCCUAGAAAGGUGUUUGGCAAAUUAGCUUUAUAGCAUUGUUAUUUAACUUCAUCCAGUAGUUCUAAACACCAUAGUUGUUCUAAAAUGAGUCACAUUCCUGUGAAAAUGUUUACAACCUUGAAAUGCUACAGAGUGAAAUAUAUCAAUUGCAAAGGUUGUAUUUGUUCAAAACCCAGUGAGAGUGCUUCAUAAAAUUCUUGCACACUGAGGACUUUCUGAAAUAAGAGAUUCAAGAGUUUGGAUUAGAGCAGUUUGGCUGUGAUUACCGAGGUGUCACUUUUUAAGAGUGGCCCUCCCCCAGGGAGGGGGAGAAAAUCAAAGCAAAAGUCACUUGGCAAUUACCAUGAAUGGAGAUCUCCGUGUAAUCAAGAAACACAUGAUUGACCCUUGCAGCAAAGGAAAUAAAAUUAUAUCCUAAUUAAGUGCAUAGCGGUGACAAAAUAAUUAGUUAAUAUUGUAACUGUCACAACCUUGUUAAAACAUUUCUCGCUUACCAGAAGGAGAGAAGGAAGCCUCUGCUCACAGCUUCCCUCACUAAAAUCAAACACCUAUUCAGAAUCUGCCCUUUGCGUCAUAUGCAUUCAGUUUUCUCCUAACUGAAAUGUUUUGCUUCAAAUCACACCCUGAGACAUGGGCUACAUGGAUCACGAAACCUCCUGUGUGUUAGCCCUGUGUACCUUCCCUCUCGUUCACCCUCCACAUUUCCCAUCUCUGAGCCCCUCAGCUUUAUAGGGAUGUCAGCUUGGCCCCAAUGUAGUCCCAUUUACAGCC
rnacentral:lncRNA from 1 species